UAUGUUAAUAUUCAUGGGCCGCCAAAAAUUCGUUUGUACGAUGGAGUGACGCAGAAGUGAAAGGACAGCCAGGUGAUGGAUAUCCUGGUUUAAGGUCGUAGGCUGGUCAGUAGGAAAAUCCGCUGGCUAAGGCCGAAAGCCGAAUACGAGGGCUUAGCCCGCAAAGUGUCCCUAAUCAUGCUGCCAGGAAAAACUUCUAAGGAGAAUUGAGGCGACCGUACCCGAAACCGACUCAGGUGGGCGAGGAGAGUAUCCUAAGGUGCUCGAGAGAACCAAGGUAAAGGAACUCGGCCAACUAACUCCGUAACUUCGGAAGAAGGAGUGCCCGCGCAAGCGGGUCGCAGUGAAGAGGCCCAGGCGACUGUUUACCAAAAACACAGGGCUCUGCGAAGUCGUAAGACGACGUAUAGGGCCUGACACCUGCCCGGUGCUGGAAGGUUAAGGGGAUCUGUCAUGACGCAAGUCGGCAGCAGUGAACCGAAGCCCCAGUAAACGGCGGCCGUAACAAUAACGGUCCUAAGGUAGCGAAAUUCCUUGUCGGGUAAGUUCCGACCUGCACGAAUGGUGUAACGAUCUGGGCGCUGUCUCUACCUUGGACUCGACGAAAUUGCAAUCUCAGUGAAGAUACUGGGUUCCCGCGGCAGGGCGGAAAGACCCCGUGGACCUUUACUAUACCCUGACACUGACAUUUAGCUUCUGAUGUGUAGGAUAGGUGGGAGGCUUUGAAGCUGGCGCGCUAGCGUCGGUGGAGCCAACGUUGAAAUACCCCUUUAGCUGUUGAAUGUCUAACCUAGGAUUAACCAGAGACACUGUCAGGCGGGUAGUUUGACUGGGGCGGUCGCCUCCCAAAAUGUAACGGAGGCGCCCAAAGGUUCCCUCAGCACGGUCGGCAAUCGUGCAUAGAGUGCAAAGGCAUAAGGGAGCUUGACUGCAAGACAUACAAGUCAAGCAGGUAGGAAACUAGGGCUUAGUGAUCCGGCGGUAGUGAAUGGAAAUGCCGUCGCUCAUCGGACAAAAGGUACCCCGGGGAUAACAGGCUUAUCGCCGCCAAGAGUUCACAUCGACGCGGCGGUUUGGCACCUCGAUGUCGGCUCGUCACAUCCUGGGGCUGGAGAAGGUCCCAAGGGUUUGGCUGUUCGCCAAUUAAAGUGGCACGCGAGCUGGGUUCAGAACGUCGUGAGACAGUUCGGUCCCUAUCCGCCGUGGGCGUAGGAAUCUUGAGGAGUGCUGUGCUUAGUACGAGAGGACCGGCAUGGACGAACCUCUGGUGUACCGGUUGUGGCGCCAGCUGCAGCGCCGGGUAGCUAGGUUCGGAUCGGAUAAACGCUGAAAGCAUCUAAGUGUGAAACCGACUCCAAGAUUAGGAUUCCCUGAAGAUCCCUUGAAGAUGACAAGGUUGAUAGGCUACAGGUGUAAGUGCAGUAAUGCAUUCAGCCGAGUAGUACUAAUAGAUCGUUCGGCUUGAUCAA
rnacentral:rRNA from 1 species